rnacentral:rRNA from 1 species
AGUGAACGCUGGCGGUAGGCCUAACACAUGCAAGUCGAACGGCAGCACAGUAAGAGCUUGCUCUUACGGGUGGCGAGUGGCGGACGGGUGAGGAAUACAUCGGAAUCUACUUUUUCGUGGGGGAUAACGUAGGGAAACUUACGCUAAUACCGCAUACGACCUACGGGUGAAAGCAGGGAUCUUCGGACCUUGCGCGAUUGAAUGAGCCGAUGUCGGAUUAGCUAGUUGGCGGGGUAAAGGCCCACCAAGGCGACGAUCCGUAGCUGGUCUGAGAGGAUGAUCAGCCACACUGGAACUGAGACACGGUCCAGACUCCUACGGGAGGCAGCAGUGGGGAAUAUUGGACAGUGGGCGCAAGCCUGAUCCAGCCAUACCGCGUGGGUGAAGAAGGCCUUCGGGUUGUAAAGCCCUUUUGUUGGGAAAGAAAAGCAGCAGGUUAAUACCCCGCUGUUCUGACGGUACCCAAAGAAUAAGCACCGGCUAACUUCGUG